AAAUUCUUCAGGCCAAUGUCUUUCCUCUGGUUAAGUUGUACUGUCCUGUAGUGUAUAACUUUAGGAUCUUUAUUAGUCGAUUUCCUCUAAACUACAGCUAAGCGAAAUCCAGAAGUUUAAAGUAUAAUCUAGUUAUCUUUUGUUUUGGAAAUGCUUUUCAGCAGCUUAUGAAAACACCUUGAGUCUGGGUCAGGUUCGGUGCAUUGGCUUGGAGUUUACACCCUCAGCUGGGAGGGGAAAAAGAUAACGCCAGCAGCUGAGAAAGAAAAACCUGUUUGAGUAAAUACCAUAGCUGAACAUUUAUGUUUCAGAAUGAAUCUGGAUAUACACCAAAUAACUUUUUUGGUCAGAAAGGAGCAUCCCAAAGAAUGAAGCAUGGCAGCUUAUCAUUUAUUCUGACAAACACUUGUGGGUGCAUCUAUUGUGGCCAGACAUAUACUACAAAAUGAUCAAAUCACAGCCCUUAUGGAUCGCCAAAACUCCCCAGUCUAGCCGCAUUUGAUGAUCAAGACCUCUUUAAUCAUGCUUUUAUACGCCGUGUCUCUUGUUCAUAGUGACACGUGGACAUGGAGGCUUAGAGAAUC
rnacentral:lncRNA from 1 species